rnacentral:tRNA from 1 species
GCCGGGGUGGCGGAAUUGGCAGACGCAGAGGACUUAAAAUCCUCCGCCCUCAAAAGGCUUGUGGGUUCGAGACCCUCCCCCGGCA